rnacentral:rRNA from 1 species
AGCGAACGCUGGCGGCGUGCCUAACACAUGCAAGUCGAACGUGAAAGGGAGCAAUCCUGAGUAAAGUGGCGUACGGGUGAGUAACGCGUAGGUAAUCUACCCCAAAGUCUGGAAUAACCUGCCGAAAGGCGGGCUAAUACUGGAUAGAGCGAUGGAACUCAUAAAGGAGUUUUUCGGGAAAGGGAGGAAGCAAUUCCCUUUGCUUUGGGAUGAGCCUGCGUCUCAUUAGCUAGUUGGUGGGGUAAAAGCUCACCAAGGCUAUGAUGGGUAGCUGGUCUGAGAGGAUGAUCAGCCACACUGGAACUGAAACACGGUCCAGACUCCUACGGGAGGCAGCAGUGGGGAAUCUUGCGCAAUGGACGAAAGUCUGACGCAGCCACGCCGCGUGAGUGAAGAAGGCCUUCGGGUUGUAAAGCUCUGUCGCCCGGGACGAAAAUUUAUUAGGUGAAUAGCCUAGUGAACUGACGGUACCGGGAAAGGAAGCACCGGCUAACUCCGUGCCAGCAGCCGCGGUAAAAC